rnacentral:misc_RNA from 1 species
CAGAGUUCAGGCCCUCACGGGCAGAUCUCCCACCCCUGUGUAUUCAUACCUUUGUUGCUUUGGCGGGCCGCCAGGUCACUGGCCACCGGCCCUGGAGCUGGUGCGCGCCCGCCAGAGGACCCACAAACUCUGGUUAUUUGUGUCGUCUGAGUACUAUACAAUCGUUA